AUGAGGAGUACCUGUCCCAGGCAUGAAGGGAGACAGGGGCCGUCGGAAGCAGCGUUCGCCCUCGUUCUGUGCUUGCUGGUGGUGGCCCCCCUGGAGACCCAGGCCGAGGCUGAUCUCAAAGACUGUCGCAAUAUCUCCAGGGCAGUGUCUGAAGGAGACACUGUGGUUAUUCCAUUGAACACAUCAAAGAUGAUGGACGUGUACAAAUGGAACUCCUCCAUUUCCACCUGGGAAUUAGUUCUUAUCUAUAAUGGAAAGUCUCAUUCUGGGAAACGUCCCUUCACAGAUCAGCUCACUGUAUCCCAGGAGCAGUUCACAGUGAUGAACGUGAGCAGAGAGUUACAAGGAGUCUAUAUGGUUACCUUAUACCUGUCUGAGAAAUGUGUGGCUCUCAUCAACCUGACAGCGAGGGCUCCUAUGGCACCUCCAUCGGUUAUACCCGGGAACGAAGCUCCUGCAGCCCGUAAGCACUUAUUCUUUCCUAGAGCUCUCCUAAAACUCAUCUCUAGCACUGUCCACAACGGUGAUUCAGUCGGUGACACUUAUGUCAGUCUGGGAGGGGCAGGGGUCAGGUCACAACCCCGACAAAAGUACUAG
rnacentral:lncRNA from 1 species